UUAAAAGCUCGUUCUCUUUUUUUGGACGCGUUCCUCGUCUUCCUACAUCGCAUCCCAUCCCAUCGUUCUCGGCUUCUCAUGUCGGAGAUAGCCGCGCUUCUUGCCCCUACUCUCACUUCCAUCCCGAAGAGAUCUGCCACCAUGAGCAGCGGCAGCGGCGGCGGCGAUCUCCUCAGUAUACACUAUACAGCCCACCGAGCUUAAAUGCCAUUGUGAAAGUCGAACUGAGGAAGAAGAGUUGGUGCUCAAUGCGGGUGACCAACACGACUGAUCAGUAUGUGGCCUUCAAGGCGUGAAGUGUGAACUUCUUUCUCUCUCAUUGUUGAGUUUCCCUAUAUUUGUUCAUUUUUCUUCAACAUAAAUUAUUCUAUCGUCUUGAGAGUGAAAGUUAGAAUACUAUCUAUCUAUCUAUCCAUCUAUCUAUCUAUCUAUCUUAUUUGUUCAUUUUUCUUCAACAUAAAUUAUUCUAUCGUCUUGAGAGUGAAAGUUAGAAUACUAUCUAUCUAUCUAUCUUAUUUGUUCAUUUUUCUUCAACAUAAAUUAUUCUAUCGUCUUGAGAGUGAAAGUUAGAAUACUAUCUAACUAUCUAUCUAUCUAUCUAUCUAUCUGCCUGCCGCCAAAUACACGUGUAUUUUUAUUUUAUUUUAUUAUGUAAUCAUCAUUCAUUUGAAUUAUAUUCAAGUAUUGUUUGAAUUGGAUGUUCUCAGUUACAAUGCAAGCUCAGAAAGAGCUUCCAGCUGACCUGCAAUGCAAAGAUAAGUUCCUUUUCAUGAUGCCUAUUUAUUGAUUCUAUUGAGUUAUCAGUUUAAUAAAGAAGAUGGUAAAGCUGUCUGUAGAGGAGUUUAAGUUGCAGGUUGUGUACAUUCCUGCCAGCCAAUCUUCCCUCUCCUGUGCCUGAGGAAUCAGAGGAGGGAUUGUCACCAUUGUCAUUUGGAGUAGAGAAAGGACCUCGAAGUUCAUCUCUGUCUGAUGCGGUAAGGGUAUUUGGACUUAAGUUUGCUAAUGAUCUCGUUCUCGUUAACUUAUAUAAGUUGUCAUGGUUUUAGUUUUCAAGUUCUUACCUUUUGUUUUAUUUUAUCCAAUUGACGUAUACUGAUUCACUGAAUGAGAGGGCAAAUGCUAGCUAUCAGGUGAUGCAAUCCUCGAGUGAGACAGUGGAAGAAAAGACUUCAGAGGUGGUUUGGAUACAUUACGUUCUCUCUUCUUACUAUGGAAAAUUUGGAGCACCCAACCCGUAAAUAUUGCAUAGUUCUGUGUAUUUAAUUAAUCUGCACCUUUUAUUUGUGACAAGCAAUAAACGUCAAUGUCCUUUGUAAAAAUAAAUAAAUAAACUGAUGCCCCUUGACUUACUACUUGAAUAGAGAAUCAACCAGCAGUGUUUGAGAUGGGACAAGUGAUCCCUUAAUCUAUCCUGGCAAAAAGUCAUCACUUUUGGGUUGUUGAAACUAGUUCAAGUGAAAACCUGCUCCAAUCAUAGGAAAUGACAAUGCCCUAAAGGAUUAUUCUGUCGAGGUGUUUUACUUUCUAAAAAAUUAUCUGGUUUAAUGAAUGGUGAUUAGUGUUUAUGAUACUGGAGAAUAUUUUUCCUAUCCAUUUUUUUUAUGAAAUAGAUUUUCCUAAGCAUUUUUGUUAUCAUGGCUUCACAGAGUCAGUGGUAGGACUAAAAUUGUUGACCAUAUGGCAGCAUUCAUGUAAGUGACAGAAAUAUGGCUCAGAUGUUUCAGAGUUAAAUCCCAUUACAGAAUGCAAAUGAACAUGGGUAGUCAGAGAACUGAAGGUAGGGUGGGAUCCUUGACACAUUUGCUGUUGAGUAGUCUAAGAAAUAAAUUAUGCACAAGUGUUAUCCAAUGCUUAGGUCUUGUUAUCUUUCUUCUCUUUCUGUUGAAGUUCUGCAUUUUUCCUCUUUUGCCCUUUACUUCAGUUGUUUAAACCUAUCAACUGGAUCUCUGCCCUUCCAAUCCUUUAUAUCCAUGCUAAUUAUACAAGCUAAAUUUGCCCUUUGGAAACCAAUUUAGCUGUUUCAUACCUGAAAUAGUCUUCUAGCCCAGUGUUCUGUUCUCAACAAGGCUUAUAUGGAAAACAAAUUCGUGAAUAGGUUCACAAAAAGAUACCCUUGCAUAGUUGCAUGUUGCAUCAAAAGAUUUCAAAGAGUGUCGUUUGGUGUUGAUUUGUGUCUAAGAAUUUGUGACAUAUCCAUUCCUUAUUGUCCAUAAAUAAAUAGGCCUAAGCAAGGAUAUGCUUAUCUAUAUAUUAUUUGCCAUGAUUUUGUGAGAAAAUUCUUCAAAAACAUUAUUCAGUUUAUUACUGUAGGCGAUGGUAAAAACUUCAUUAAACUCUGUAGUAAUCAGAGCUGCGUUUGCCCUCAAAUUGUCAAUCUGAAAUGGUGACUUCAGAUCUUUGAAGUGUGAACACCUCAAGAAGUUCUUGGUCAAAUAAUCACAAUUUUGUACUUGGAAGUCCAUGUUCUGUUUGAUUUAUAUGAGUCUGUGAUGUCAUGGGCAUGCAUAUAUGACAGCAAAUUUAAAUUAUUACCACUGCAUUAUAGAAAAUUUCAUUCUUAAUGGAUUUUGAACCUAUCAAGUGACAAAUUAAAUCAUAAUGUCUAUAAAUCUAAGAUGUUUUCUGUUUUGGUAUCAUAUUCCUCUACCAUUCUGUGUCUUUAUCCUUGAAAUUCCAUCGUAAAAGUAACUGAGCAUUUUAUCCAAACAAAAAAGGACAUAACUGAGCAUUGAUCAACGAUUGUAAGGAGCUGUCCGUAUCCCCGAUUGUCAUGCAACCAUGCAUAUUAGCAUGAAACAGACACCAAAUCAAAUCAGGAAAUACUUGUGCUUGAGGAUAUCAUAUUAUGUUUAAUUGCCAUGAGAAUAGGCUUAUCAAAGAGUUUUGGAAAGUCAAUCAUAUGUUAUAUGUUUCUGAUAUCAAUGUUGAAUAAAUUGUGAUGGAAGCUAAAGAAAGUUUGGAUGGCCUCAUGAGGAGAAAUUACCAUGCCGUGCACCUGUCACUUGAUUCCUUCAGAAGAUGCCUGGCAUUAAUUGGCAGUUUAAAUUCUCUGAAGGGAAUUGGCAUUUAACAAUUAGUUCCGGAAAGCUUGGUGGUGAUUCACAAAUUUUGAAAGUACUUGUAGUAAUUGAUGGUUUGAAUUUUUCAGGUAUCAAACAUCAUCUCCCUGCUGACCAAGGAAAAAGUUCAUGCUAUUCAGCAAAACCAGAAACUCAAUUAAGAACUGAGAGCCUGCAGUGUAAACAUUAAAAAAGGGCGCCACACCACACUUGUCAUCGUGCAUUUUCAUCGGCUCAUCAUGUCUACCAUUUAAGCAGGAAACGAAGCCUCCGUUCCAUUGGCUUCAAAGUUCCAACAACUUGCACGCGAAGGGAAAGACAAGAGGCCUCGGCCUCGGCUAGCUCCACGGAUCCGUUGAUGCUGUCAUCCCCUACGGCUGUGCCGGCCCUACAAUCUUUGUAGACAUACCACUUGGCACAGACCAAGAAGACCCCGAGGUUAACGACACUGAUCAU